rnacentral:rRNA from 1 species
CCUUACUACUUGGAUAACCGUGGUAAUUCUAGAGCUAAUACAUGCUAAAAAUCCCGACUUCGGAAGGGAUGUAUUUAUUAGAUUAAAAACCAAUGCCCUCCGGGGCUCACUGGUGAUUCAUGAUAACUCCUCGAAUCGCAUGGCCUUGCGCCGGCGAUGGUUCAUUCAAAUUUCUUCCCUAUCAACUUUCGAUGUUUGGGUAUUGGCCAAACAUGGUUGCAACGGGUAACGGAGGGUUAGGGCUCGACCCCGGAGAAGGAGCCUGAGAAACGGCUACUACAUCCAAGGAAGGCAGCAGGCGCGCAAAUUACCCAAUCCCGACUCGGGGAGGUAGUGACAAUAAAUACUGAUACAGGGCUCUUUUGGGUCUUGUAAUUGGAAUGAGUACAAUUUAAAUCCCUUAACGAGGAACAAUUGGAGGGCAAGUCUGGUGCCAGCAGCCGCGGUAAUUCCAGCUCCAAUAGCGUAUAUUAAAGUUGUUGUGGUUAAAAAGCUCGUAGUUGAACCUUGGGCCUGGCUGGCCGGUCCGCCUCACCGCGUGUACUGGUCCGGCCGGGCCUUUCCCUCUGUGGAACCCCAUGCCCUUCACUGGGUGUGGCGGGGAAACAGGACUUUUACUGUGAAAAAAUUAGAGUGCUCCAGGCAGGCCUAUGCUCGAAUACAUUAGCAUGGAAUAAUAGAAUAGGACGUGUGGUUCUAUUUUGUUGGUUUCUAGGACCGCCGUAAUGAUUAAUAGGGACAGUCGGGGGCAUCAGUAUUCAAUUGUCAGAGGUGAAAUUCUUGGAUUUAUUGAAGACUAACUACUGCGAAAGCAUUUGCCAAGGAUGUUUUCAUUAAUCAGGAACGAAAGUUAGGGGAUCGAAGACGAUCAGAUACCGUCGUAGUCUUAACCAUAAACUAUGCCGACUAGGGAUCGGACGGUGUUAUAUUUUGACCCGUUCGGCACCUUACGAGAAAUCAAAGUGCUUGGGCUCCA